GGCAAGCGUUGUCCGGAUUUAUUGGGCGUAAAGAGCGUGUAGGCGGCCAUACAGGUCCGUUGUGAAAACUGGAGGCUUAACCUCCAGACGUCGAUGGAAACCGUAUGGCUAGAGUCCGGAAGAGGAGAGUGGAAUUCCUGGUGUAGCGGUGAAAUGCGCAGAUAUCAGGAAGAACACCCGUGGCGAAGGCGGCUCUCUGGGCCGGUACUGACGCUGAGACGCGAAAGCGUGGGGAGCGAACAGG
rnacentral:rRNA from 1 species